rnacentral:rRNA from 1 species
GACGGCUGUAACUAUAACGGUCCUAAGGUAGCAAAUUUCCUUGUCGUCCUAAUAACGACCUGCAUGAAACAUAGAACGAUUCGAUAGCUGUCUUGCACACACAUCAUGGUAAAAUAUUCAUCAGUACAAAUAAUAUGCUGCACAACACUAAAGGACAAAAAGACCCUCUGAAGCUUUAUAGGGAUAAAACUUGGGUAACAUCGUGAUCUUAAUUAUCUUAUUGCAUCCCAGCUAAAGCUCUACAGAUUACUGAUUUCUCCUAAGACCACUGUUUAAUUGGGGCGAUAACCUUAUCCACAGCCACCUAAGGUGAACAAAGCGAUACAAGGAUCCUAAAUACUAAUUUGACCAACUAAUAAGUGUAAAGAUACAUGUUUUGCUUAAUGGCCCAACAAGUCCUUCCCAGUACUUAAAUGCUAUCUUAAUGAGCUUUAAAUUAAUCUACCCGAGUGAAGCUACUCUACGGAUAACAGGCUUAAUUUCCGCAAUACCCAAGGUCACAUUAUCAAGAUUCAUGUACCUCGAUGUCGGCUUAUCAUUCAAAAAUAGGUAGUGUGUAUUAUUGGUGGGAGUGCUCAUCCCGUAAAUCGGUACGUGAGCUGGGUUCAAUACG